UGCACUUUGAAGAAGAGUUCCAGUGUAGUGAUGAUAAAUUGUGUCCUAAGUCUAGGCCAAAACUUGGUAAACAAAUUCAGAUUAUGUUGAAAUGUAGAGAACAUUAGUAUUUGUGUUAUAGGAUCAUAUUUGCUUUUGUUCUUUAAGGGUUAAAAUAAUUCUGUACUCUCCUGGUGAUGUUAUUCAUAAUAAAUUUUUUAAAAAAUUAAUAAAUAUUUUAAUCACACUAAUGUGCAGGGCUUUUUAUUUGUUAAAAUUAUUACUUGUAGACUAUUUCCACUAGAAUACACAAGUUAAUAUAGAUUAGAUAAGAUUAGAUUCACACAGGCAUAAAAGGAACUCCCACUAAAUACGAAAACACAUUGCAGACAUAAACCUCGGUAUGAGUGGGCGAUGUGGUUUUACUUUUAACCACACACAUAUCUGAUUGAAAAGCAAGGGGAAGCUGUGUCAGUUCGUUUAAAAAGCGCUACCAAGAGUACAGAAGUCACAUAUGAACCUGUAAUCUAAAGGUAAACCUGCUUGGUGCUGCACACAAAAAGAGUUUGAGAAACGUUUUGAAACGUUCAUUGUGAAUCUGUAACUCUUAUAGGACUUUCUUAAACACCAUGAAGUGGCUUUUAAUUUCUUGCAUCACUGUGAUGGUUUACCUGCUGAUGCCGCAGUGCCAAGCCUUCAUCGUCAGAGAAUCGAUGGUGAAUGAAGCCCUGACCCUCCCGUGUAACUGCUCAGGAAAUUGUCCAGUGGUUUUGUGGAUCCAUUUCAUUCCUGACAAAGUUGUCGUUGUUCAAAGCUGGAUUUGUUCAAAACAAGAGAAUUUUAACAAAAGAUUUACACUACCAGGAGAUACAAGCAGAGGAGAUUUCUCCCUGAUGAUCAGUUCAGUAGCCUACACUGAUGCAGGCUCUUACAUGUGCAGAUGUAAUGAAAAAUCAGUGACAGAAGUAAAGCUGAAAGUUAUCAGGCAACAACAAUUCACAACCACCAACAGCGCUCCAGUUUCAGGAGGGUUUGCACUGCUAGGAUUGUUCAUCUCAGUAGUGAUCAACAUUUACAUUACAUGAGAUUACCUGAUAAUUUUUAUUACAUGAGAAAAUGCAGAGACCAGAUUUUAUCUAAGACUGCAGGAUCUUUAGCUUUCAUGUACAUCACUGUUCUGUUGUCCUGUAUGUUCCUUUUAUUCUGUGUGUUUAUUGUCCUGUUCUCAUCUCACACUGUAUGCAAUCUUAUGUACUGUUACAUGUUACACCAUGGUACUGGAGUCAUUUUUGUUCUAUAAUGUACAAGCUAUAUAGCUGUGAUUUGUGAAGGGACUCAUG